GUGCCGGGGCAUCGUUGAUGACCGAGGACAAGCCCCCAGGGCGAGGCGCGAGCAUUGCACUGCGCUCGCGUUGACCCCUGCCACUACCACAGAAUUGGGCAGAUGGGGCAU
rnacentral:snRNA from 1 species